UUAGGAUUUGUCUAUGCUUUGAUUAGGACUUAAGAUUUAAUCUAAGAUUUGAUUUCAAAAUUUAUUAGGAUUUGAUUAUAAUUUAUUUAAAAUUUCAUUAAGAUUUGACCUAGGAUUUUAUCAAGAUUCAAUUAGGGUUUUAAUUAGGAUUUGACUUAAGAUUUGGUUAAGAUUCAAUUAAGAUUUUAAUUAAGAUUGUAUUAGAAUUUCUAUUUCGAUUAUUAAUUCAGUAUUCUUUAUUAUUUCUUUAAAUUUUCUAUUUAUAAUAUUUCUUUAAGAUUAUUAUUAUUUU
rnacentral:lncRNA from 1 species